rnacentral:rRNA from 1 species
CCUACGGGAGGCAGCAGUGAGGAAUAUUGGUCAAUGGGCGGGAGCCUGAACCAGCCAAGCCGCGUGAGGGUAGAAGGUACAGCGUAGUGUAAACCUCUUUUGUCAGGGAACUAAGGCGGGGACUUGUCCCCGGAUGAGGGUACCUGACGAAAAAGCAUCGGCUAACUCCGUGCCGGCAGCCGCGGUAAUACGGAGGAUGCGAGCGUUUUCCGAAUUUAUGGGGUUUAAGGGGUGGGCAGGCGGCCUGUUAGGUCAGCGGUAAAGGCCCGGGGGUCAACCCCGGCGAGCCGUUGAGACUGGCGGGCUGGAGUUGGAGAGAAGUACGCGGAAUGCGCGGUGUAGCGGUGAAAUGCUUAGAUAUCGCGCAGAACCCCGAUUGCGAAGGCAGCUUACCGGCUCCACACUGACGCUGAGGCACGAAAGCGUGGGUAUCGAACAGGAUUAGAUACCCGUGUAGUC